GAAAGAUUCAUCGGAAGAGGAUGGGCAUGCGGCGCAUUAGCUUGACGGCGGGGUAACGGCCCACCGUGGCGACGAUGCGUAGGGGUUCUGAGAGGAAGGUCCCCCACACUGGUACUGAGACACGGACCAGACUCCUACGGGAGGCAGCAGUGAGGAAUAUUGGUCAAUGGGAGAGAUCCUGAACCAGCCAAGCCGCGUGAGGGAAGACGGCCCUAUGGGUUGUAAACCUCUUUUGUCGGAGAACAAAACCCGGGACGUGUCCCGGACUGCGUGUAUCCGAAGAAAAAGCAUCGGCUAACUCCGUGCCAGCAGCCGCGGUAAUACGGAGGAUGCGAGCGUUAUCCGGAUUUAUUGGGUUUAAAGGGUGCGUAGGCGGUCUGUUAAGUCAGCGGUAAAAUUGCGGGGCUCAGCCCCGUCGAGCCGUUGAAACUGGCAGACUUGAGUUGGCGAGAAGUACGCGGAAUGCGCGGUGUAGCGGUGAAAUGCAUAGAUAUCGCGCAGAACUCCGAUUGCGAAGGCAGCGUACCGGCGCCAGACUGACGCUGAGGCACGAAAGCGUGGGGAUCGAACAGGAUUAGAUACCCUGGUAGUCCACGCAGUAAACGAUGAAUGCUGGUUGUCCGGGUCGAAUGAGACCUGG
rnacentral:rRNA from 1 species